rnacentral:lncRNA from 1 species
UGUGAGGACACAGCUAGAAGAGACACAAUCAGAAGACGGCUGCCUAUGAACCAGGAAGUGGGUUCUCACCAGACACCCAGUCUGCUGGCUGCUUGAUCUUGGACUUUCCAGCCUCCAGAACUAUCAUGAUCUAGGCAUGGGUGUUAUGCGAAACAGGUAUAAAUUCUCAUUUAAAAAAUAAAACAGCGCUGGCCCUGUGGAGCAGCGGUUCUGCUUCUCGGCGCCCGGGGGUUCACCAGUUCGGAUUGCAGGUGUGGACACGGCACCGCUUGGCACGCCAUGCUGUGAGAGUGAUGCCUGGCCCUCUGCCCGAUGCCACCAGGAAUGAGCAUGGCCCCAGGGAGUACUGCCAAGUCGUGUCGGCGAGCUGCCUUCUGGGAGCCAAGUGGCCACCAGACAAAUGCACUGAUCUGCUUGCUCAGAGCGCUGUCAGGGGGACACAGUGGCUUAACUACCUCACUGCUUUAUGUGGCUGUCAGCUCUGCAUCUCCGUUCUGUGUUUUAAGCCAUUUUGUUUACAC